UCCUACGGGGCGCAGCAGUGGGGAAUUUUGCGCAAUGGGCGAAAGCCUGACGCAGCAACGCCGCGUGGAGGAUGAAGGUCUUUGGAUUGUAAACUCCUGUCGACCGGGAAAAAGCAACUCGACCUAACACGUCGGGGAGUUGAUUGUACCGGUGGAGGAAGCCCCGGCUAACUCUGUGCCAGCAGCCGCGGUAAUACAGAGGGGGCAAGCGUUAUUCGGAAUUAUUGGGCGUAAAGGGCGCGUAGGUGGCCCGGCAAGUGGAAGGUGAAAUCCCUCGGCUCAACUGAGGAACUGCCUUCCAAACUGUUAGGCUUGAGUCCGGGAGAGGUGAGUGGAAUUCCCAGUGUAGCGGUGAAAUGCGUAGAUAUUGGGAGGAACACCAGUGGCGAAGGCGGCUCACUGGACCGGAACUGACGCUGAGGCGCGAAAGCGUGGGGAGCAAACGGGAUUAGAUACCCUGGUAGC
rnacentral:rRNA from 1 species